CUACAGGCUGACUGUAGUGUGUCUGCUGCUGUUGUGUUUUUUCCUAACCAUCUGCAUCAUUGUCCUGAGUAUCUGUUAGAAACCAUGCCGACCGUGUCCACAGGACUGGGAGCUGUUCAACUACAGCUGCUACUUUAUCUCCAAGGAGCAGAAAUCAUGGAUGGACAGUCGGAUUGAAUGUCUUAAGUUGGGAGCUGACCUGGAAUUCAUUAAUGGAAAAAAAGAUGAUUACUGGAUUGGACUGAAAUAUAAUACAAAGAAGAAUGAUUGGAUUUGGCUGGAUGGCAGAUCUCUGAGAGGGUCAGGAUUCAUUCAGACACA